rnacentral:rRNA from 1 species
AUUGAACGCUGGCGGCAGGCCUAACACAUGCAAGUCGAGCGAGCGGCGGACGGGUGAGUAAUGUCUGGGAAACUGCCUGAUGGAGGGGGAUAACUACUGGAAACGGUAGCUAAUACCGCAUAACAUCAGAUGUGCCCAGAUGGGAUUAGCUAGUAGGUGGGGUAAAGGCUUACCUAGGCGACGAUCCCUAGCUUGUCUUAGAGUAUGACCAGCCACACGGGAACUGAGACACGGUCCAGACUCCUACGUGAGGCAGCAGUGGUGAAUAUUGCACAAUGGGAGCAAGCCUGAUGCAGCCAUGCCGCGUGUGUGAAGAAGGCCGUCGGGUUGUAAAGCACUUUCAGCGGGGAGGCGUUACCCGCAGAAGAAGCACCGGCUAACUCCGUGCCAGCAGCCGCGGUAAUUC